AAUAAAUAUUAGCAAAAUUAGCGAAAGUUGAUGACGCAAAGUUAUGGGUCUAAGAUAUUUAAUAUAUUAUGAUUGCCAAACUGCACAG
rnacentral:ncRNA from 1 species